rnacentral:tRNA from 40 species
GAGCCAUUAGCUCAGUUGGUAGAGCAUCUGACUUUUAAUCAGAGGGUCGCAGGUUCGAGCCCUGCAUGGCUCACCA